GUGGGGAAUAUUGGACAAUGGGCGAAAGCCUGAUCCAGCCAUGCCGCGUGUGUGAAGAAGGUCUUCGGAUUGUAAAGCACAUUAAGUUGGGAGGAAGGGCAGUAAGUUAAUACCUUGCUGUUUUGACGUUACCGACAGAAUAAGCACCGGCUAACUUCGUGCCAGCAGCCGCGGUAAUACGAAGGGUGCAAGCGUUAAUCGGAAUUACUGGGCGUAAAGCGCGCGUAGGUGGUUUUGUAAGUUGGAGGUGAAAUCCCCGGGCUCAACCUGGGAACUGCCUCCAAAACUGCAUGACUAGAGUACGGUAGAGGGUAGUGGAAUUUCCUGUGUAGCGGUGAAAUGCGUAGAUAUAGGAAGGAACACCAGUGGCGAAGGCGACUACCUGGACUGAUACUGACACUGAGGUGCGAAAGCGUGGGGAGCAAACAGGAUUAGAAACCCCGGUAGUCC
rnacentral:rRNA from 1 species